UACGAGGGCUUCGUAGCAGUGUCCGUCUUAACUAGGCUGUAAAGGGAGCAUAGGCGGUUCCAUAGUUAGUCUCAAAACAAGCACUGAUAUUUUGACUAAUGAUUCUUUGGCAACUCUGAGGAAAGCGGACGAUAGUGGUUACUUUCAAAUAAGCAGUGUAAAUGCCGUAAGAUUGAAAGGACCACCACGUGGCGAUUGCAACUAUCGACGCUUUUUUUAUUUUAAACCUGACGCUGAAGAUCGAAAGUGUGGGUAGCAAAUCG
rnacentral:rRNA from 1 species